rnacentral:lncRNA from 1 species
UCUGGCAAACAGAACUGGAAGAACAGAGAAGCUGAGCCCGAAAACCAGCAGGAUCUAUAUUUGUAGAUUAAACAAACUAAAGAAUAAUUCUUGACCCUUAUUUAGUUUGAAAAAUAAUGUCAUCACUAGAAUGUUACCCAUAUGUAUUUAUAAUCAUUUGAUUUUAUUUAUAAUUUAUGAGUUUAGGUAAUCAUGUUUGUUUUGUUAAAACCCUUUUUUUCAGUCAAUGCUGAAAUCCAAAUUAACUUUUAUUGGACUCUGACAAAUUCUGUCUCUGUGUCUGAAGGGGUUAAAUGGAAUCAGUGGGAGGAGAAGGAAGUUUUAUUUCCCGUUAGGGUUUGUUUUCUGUUGUUUGUCGGUAAAUGAGGCCGCUUGUAAACUGAUCAGUCUGAAGAAUCGCAUAAAGGAGAGCCUCAUAUUUCUGUCAGAUAUGGCCUCUUCAAUGAUUACUGAGGCGAAUGGAGUGAAGGUAGUGACUCAUGUUAUCCCACUGGAGGAAAAAACAGAGUCUCUGGACCUGAAGUCAAGUUCGGUUGAGCUAGAAAAGUCCAAUUUGUCACCAAAAACCACGAUGUUCCUAAAGGGGAAGCCUCUGUCACUGGGGUUGGUGCAGGUUUUUAUUGGUUUGGUGGUCAUGACUCUGUGCACCAUCACAGUACUUGUGGAUAUGCUGAAUGUUGAGACUGUAAUGUCCCUUGGACUUCCUUUUGUCGUCUCUGGAUCUGUGGCAAUCGCUGCACACAAGAGGUCCAGUUCUACUCUGAUCAAAGCCACGCUGGCCAUGAGUGUGAUCUGUGCUCUGCUGGCUGCUGCAGGAACCGGCUACUUCAGCUGGGAGCUCAGCAAUAGACCAGGGGAGGAUCCUUGUGGCGAAAGUUACUGGUCAUGUUCGUACAUGAUAUGGAGAUUUAAUAGUUUGGUGGAUGGAUUGAGGGGUCUCCUGCUGGUGCUGUGUUUUCUUGAACUGUGCGUGUGCAUCUCUCUGUCCAUCUUUUCAGCCCGGGCCAUCCAACAGGACAAAACCGAUGUCGACCCUUGCGGCAGUGAAUCCAGUCUCCUGAAGGUUGGGGUGGAUUGUGUCUCCAACCCCUGAAUGGCCACACAGUUAUGGCCAAGGUUACUAUAGUCAAAAUUUUAAUCAUCAUAUAGGCUAAAUGUGAUAACAUUUGAUUUAAAGUUAAAGUUUUUUCUUAAUGGGAUUGUUUGAUAAAAUACAGGGUUUCCACCAUUUUCCACUAGAUGAUUUGUCAUUUUUUUUGCAGUAUUCACAUUUCUGCAUGGUAAUGCUCUUUGAGACCUAUUGCACACUGCUUGCUGAUUUUCUGAAUAAAAUGCACUAUGUUUCAUUAUUUCUCUUGCACUUUAUUGAAGACAAUUAACUGUAUUAGUGUCCACAGCACCGUAAAAUAAUUAUUUUUAUUAUAAGCAUAUGCUGCUGUUGUGUCAUCUGCCACUUUAAAUGCACAAGCUCUUAAAAUUCUGAUUGGCUUUCAAUGUUUUUAAAGUUCAUCAGGUGGAAGAAAAAAAACAAUAUUCUGAAAGUGAUCCCAACAGUAUUUUCUCAAAACUUUCCUAAUGCCUGGGAGGAAAAGUGUACAUUUAUUUCUAAAACUAUCAUUUGCUCUCCAAUACAGAUCCUUAAAAAAGCUUAAGCAUUUAUUUAUAAAAGCCUACUGUAUUUCAGCCGGGUAAGAAAAAUCAUGCUUUGAUAAAUAAAUGCAAAAUUAUUACAUAGUGAGUCACAAUUACAACACAAAAAUGUGCAAUUAUCAGAUGCCACGUCAUAAUAAUGACAUCAAUGGACAUAUAAUAAUGGACAUGGGGACGAAUGGACAUAUUACAUAUAAUAAUGGACAUGGGGACAAUGGACAUAUUCUUUACUCCAGUGUCCCCCUUGCUUAAUUGAUAGAAAUUAGUAACUAAAAUGAGUAACUAAAAUAAUUACAUUUUGGAAAUCCAGAAGUUUGGGCGUGUAUUAAAAUAAGAAAUAUCUUGAUGUUUAGUUGUUUUAGCUCAUUUAAAAAAAAAAAAUUAUUACUUUAAAUCAUUUAAGUCAUCUUGAGGCCCCAUGGAAGUUUGCCCCUAGUGGGCCCCGGACCCCUGGUUGAAAGCCACUUCUUUACUAUAGACAUACACACCCAUCCACAGCCCACAUAUAUGCAAGACAUCAUUUAGGAUGAAGAACAGUUUCUCUGAGCUCUCUCUUGACUCAGCUCUUCUCUACAUAAUUCAUAACCGGGUUAAAAAUACCCUGCUCUGGAGCUCUUGCAAGGGAGUUUUCUGGAAUAAGGGCUGGUGGGAUGAGUGAGUUCUGCUCGGGAUAUAGCCAACCAGGGACGUGCACAGGAAUUUUGAGGGGCAGUUGCUCUGACCUAAAAAAAGGCCCCCCCCCCAAAAAAAAACUCACGGGCUAUAUGAAGGACUGAGAAUAACAGGGUCUUUAUUAAAAUAUAUAUACACAAAGUAAAACACUGAAAUACAGCACUCAAUCACCUUAACUACUACUAAUAAUAACAUAGAAAAACAUGACUUUUUAGUGUUAGUUUUAGUCUUUUUUUUGUAAUUUGGGUUAUUUGUCAGGGGCAAGAUUCAAAAAGGUCAGAAAAAGUAUUAAGUAAUAAUAGUAAUAAUAACUCAACAAAAACAUCAUACAAUUUUAGAAAAUAUUCAUUCAAAAAUAAAAUCAGUACAUAAAAUGUACAUAUGGGCACACAUAUGUAAACAGUCUCAACACUCCGCAGUAAGUGCAAAAUGUGUAAGUGACGUGUGCCAGUAAAAAACCUAAAGAGCCAACAGACUAAAGAAGACAUACAUGAACCGCAUGUGUUCAACCCAUUUUUGAGCCACAACAAGACAUUUCUGUCAGAUUGUCAGGGAGCUUAAUCUGAGAAAAGAACAUGACAAAUAACAAAUAAAAAGAAAACUUUAAAUACAGCAUAAUUUUUUUAGUGUGUGUGUGUGCUGUGGGUGUGUGCAUGAGUGAGUGUGCAUGGGUGAGAAGAGAGAGAGGGUGUGGGUGUGUGCAUGAGUGAGUGUGCAUGGGUGAGAAAGAGAGAGAGGGCUUUACUUUAGUCAAGCAAUAAUUUUCUAUACAGAAUUCACACCCUAUACAAAUUCCACAGCUGUACAAUUUUCACACCCUAUACUAAAUUUACCCUAUACAAUAGCCUACUCAUCUGGAAUGAAGGAGCAAACAUUCAGUGUAAGAGUAAAAAAAUGACAUAACAUUAUUUAAUAUUUAUACUACGGGGCCGUUGAAUGCUUGAAUCUGAUUGGCUGACGAACGUUCUGAGGCGUGACAUUAUUUUCUGGGAAAAGCAUGGCGAACGUAGUUCCAGGCAGCUCUCUUGACCGCAUUACAGUUCCAUAUCACUUCGCAUAGUAAAACUGUAAUAACGGAAAUUACAGGACUAACAAAAACAACAACAUGACAGACGAUUUUCCAAAAGUACACAUGACAUUUCUCACUAGCGAGGUAAUAACAGCGCUGUUUAGAGACGCUGCUGCAGUCUAAUUCACACAAGCUCUCUCUCUCUCUCUCUCUAAACAAUCAGUGUAAGAGUAAAAAAAUGACAUAACAUUAUUUAAUAUUUAUACUACGGGGCCGUUGAAUGCUUGAAUCUGAUUGGCUGACGAACGUUCUGAGGCGUGACAUUAUUUUCUGGGAAAAGCAUGGCGAACGUAGUUCCAGGCAGCUCUCUUGACCGCAUUACAGUUCCAUAUCACUUCGCAUAGUAAAACUGUAAUAACGGAAAUUACAGGACUAACAAAAACAACAACAUGACAGACGAUUUUCCAAAAGUACACAUGUAAUUUCUCACUAGCGCGGUAAUAACAGCGCUGUUUAGAGACGCUGCUGCAGUCUAAUUCACACAAGCUCUCUCUCUCUCUCUGUGUGUGUGUGUGUGUGUGUCUCUGUCUCUCUCGCUCUCUUUCUAAUAACUUCAUUAAUAACUGCAUUAUAAUACUAUCAACGGCUCAAGCCUCCCUUACCAGCUUUAAAAUGACAUUGUGAAACCAGCAAAAGAAGCGUUGGAUGAGAUGCGGAAGAAAUAGUCCUACCCACAAUAGCGAUUAAGUACUACAAAAACCGAACGCAUCCCUUUAAAUAUAUCAUCUGAUCGAUGUCUUGAGGUGUGGUAACCGUGGUAUAAGCGGAAUAAUUGACCGAAUCACCACCUCAGGUGUGCAUUAUUUUUCUAAUAAUUCAACGGCCCGUCGUCAAUUAUUCCAGCUUAAAUAGUGUUUUGACAUCGACAACCCAAGUGCAUUUUACCUCAAACUUGCGUCUAGUUAACACACACUGACAAAAUUAUAUUCAGAAUUAAAAAUAUUUUUAUACCACUUUUUAAUGUGUGAUUGUGUAAUGGUUUUCACGAGAUACCAACCUUUCGCGAACUUGCUUCCAACACUCGUUCUCAUGGAGACGCGGUGUGCACUGAGGGGAGGGCUGUGCGCGCGCGAAUAACGUCAGAGAGACGCGUGAGUGAGAGACGCAGGGAAAUGAAAUGCAGCUGAACGUUUGCUCUAUGAAAGAAAUUGACAAAGACGAAAACUAAGGACAUUUAAUCUAUAAUUUUAUUUUAUUUUAGUUAGUUUUGCCAAACACACAUUACAGUUUUGUUAGUUAUCGUUUUUUGUAAUGCCUCGUUUUUUAUUUUUAUUUCUAGUUAACACUAAUUUUUUUCCCAACUUAGUUUUUCGUUUUUUCGUUCGUUUUCGUUAAAGUAUUAUAACCUUACUAUUACUUUUCCGACGAGACGCGUGAGUGAGAGACGCAGGGAAAUGAAAUGCAGCUGAACGUUUGCUCUAUGAAAGACAUUGACAAAGACGAAAACUAAGGACAUUUAAUCUAUAAUUUUAUUUUAUUUUAGUUAGUUUUGCCAAACACACAUUACAGUUUUGGUUAGUUAUCGUUUUUUUGUAAUGCCUCGGUUUUAUUUUUAUUUCAGUUAACACAAUUUUUUUUUCCCAACUAGUUUUCGUUUUUUCGUUCGUUUUCGUUAACGAUUAUAACCUUACUAUUACUUUUCCGACAACGUUGAGUCGUCUCACCCGACAACCGCGACAAUCUCCUUAGGGCCGCUCAUGCAGGCUCAGCUCAGGUGCCGGUCGCGUGCAGCGCUGCAGCCACGUAAAGAGAGUUUGCCCUUCCCCUACCGACUUUCACUUUCGGACGGGUGCCCGAAUAUGGAAGUGAAUGAGGCUUUGCGAUUUUUUUUAUUUAUUUAUUUUUUUUAUCUAGGCCUACGUGAAAUUCUGCAUCCAUUGUACGAUUUUUUUUAUUUAUUUUUUUCCACCUCGGAAGGGCAAUGUGAGUCGAGAAGGGCAUAUGGGGCAGUUGCCCGGGCAACCUGAGCAACCCCCCUGUGCACGUCCCUGCUUCUAGGGCUGUGCGAUAGAAAUCGUCAUAAAAUCAACGAUUUGAGCGUGCGCGAUUUCAAAGCCAUCCGAUCUAAUCAGAAUGCAACGCGCCUAGCGCGAGAACAGAAC